AAGGUUUUAAGUUAAAUUCAAACUUAUAGCCUUCAAAGCUAUCUAUAAAGAGGUUUCUUUAAGCCUUA
rnacentral:tRNA from 1 species